GUUCUCAUUUCAAUGACACAUAUAUUCAAAUUUGAAUGACGCUGAGAAUAUCAUCAUGGCCCUUGGAAAAGAAUGAAAACAAAUUACUGAAAUUAGUCCAUUUCUUU
rnacentral:snRNA from 1 species